UACGUAGGGGGCAAGCGUUGUCCGGAUUUAUUGGGCGUAAAGAGCGUGUCGGCGGUUUGGUAGGUCCGCUGUGAAAACUCGAGGCUCAACCUCGAGACGCCGGUGGAAACCAUCAGGCUAGAGUCCGGAAGAGGAGAGUGGAAUUCCUGGUGUAGCGGUGAAAUGCGCAGAUAUCAGGAAGAACACCCGUGGCUAAGGCGGCUCUCUAGUACGUGACUGACGCUGAGACGCGAAAGCGUGGGGAGCGAACAGG
rnacentral:rRNA from 1 species